rnacentral:lncRNA from 1 species
UUUUGGACAAAAAUAAAAAGGUAAGUAUUACUAAUUACUAAGUAUGAGAAUUUUUGGCUAAAAUUAUUCCUUAUCUUUAAGGGUAAGUUUAACUUUAUCCUCCACAUAUACCUUGAGUACCAAUUGUCUUCUAAAUUUGCAAAAGUUGAGCGCUUUUCGUCCAUACAACAUCCAUUAGAAAGCUAGCAGCAACAUGCGAUCUGCAGGUGAUACGUUUCAGUUUUCACCUCCAAAUCUUCUUUCAAGAAUUGUUCGGCUGAAAAUUACAUACGUAGUUUCACUAAUUCAAACAAGACCCAGAUCGCGGGCAAGUCCCAGAUAGCAUUGUUAGUACACUGUAUUUAUAAAAUAAUUUUGGAAAAGGAAAUUAACAUAUAAAAUAGAAAUGUAGAAGAAACAGAAUUUUAUCCGAGCCCACUGAAUUCAUAGUGUUUCCUUAAAGAACUUAAUCCCUUCCUAAUACCCGAGGUUGUGGAUUAUUUCCUCCUAGAAUAGAACGGAUUACACACUGGUGUAACGGUACUUCAAACCCCAUUAUUUCAACGAACACAAGUUUUAAAGCUUAAAUCGUCCAUACUGACAUUCUAAGUUUACCGACUAUGUAGGUUGUUUGAAUCCGGUGGAAGUAAUAAUUUUCUCCGGUAGAAAAGCUGGCAAUCGACUGAUUUUGGGGGUGAAAGAGAGCUGGAUUUAAAUAAAAAAAAUGUUUCAUGUGUAGUUGAGUAAUGGCUCUGCUAGUUUUCUAGCGAAUGUCAUGUUAUUUGUUAGUUGGACUAAAGGCGGUUAACUUUUGCUAACUUAGAGGAUAAUUCACGCUCAAUAUUAUAUUUGAAGGACAAAGUUAAAUUUACCCUGAAAAGAUAAGGGAUAAUUUUGGUAAAAAAAAACUCCUAAGUAUGAGCAAUAGCAAACGCAUUUAGAAGUGAAACAAUUACUAUGAACAUAUUAUUUGAUUAAUAUCUUCAUAAGUAUUUACGAGAGAGAGAGAGUCCAUUGUUAUUUUAUUUUCUCUUAUUAAUUAUUAAUGUUCAUUCAAUUCUGAGGCUAGCUAACUUGGUUUAAAAAAACCAUUCUUACAAAGGAGUAAUUACGUACUAGUACAAGUAAAGAAAAGGAAAAAAAAUAUGUAGUGAUAGAAUUAUCAACUUAAACAAUUUUUUGCAAUACUACAUUAUUUAUGCUAACAAACACCACAUAUUCCUUUCUCGCAAAAUCUACAUAGGCAUAAUCACCCAGCUAGUAUAGGCGAAAAACCUAAAAUAACCUAACUGCAAAAAAAAAAAUUAAAAGUUAUGGAAUUAAAAAAAAUUACAUGUGUAAUUAAACUAAGCUAUCUAUACCAUAAUUUGUACAAAAUUGAAAUUGGUGAAUACAAAUAUUGAAUCACCAAUAUAAUACAGAGGAAAACUCUACAACCAAAAGACAAACUAAUGAAUGAAAAUUAAAUUACUAUACCUUUAACGGAUAGCAAGAGGAACUCUAAAUGCAGAAUUCAAGCCUUUCUUUUCUUGUUGUGUAGAGGAUUUGGUCCAGUGGGAACUCUCCUCUUAUCGGACUCAAAGCCUCUAGCAAACGGCGCACUCGCCUGAGGUUGAAAAACUUGAUGUUUUCUCGCCAUCGACGGACCGGAAAAUCGUGCCGCCGGUGGACGGCCGAUGGCGUGAAGUAAUACAAUUUGAGAAGUGAAGAGGAGAAAGAAGAAGAAAAAGAAAUGAAAGAGACUGUUCAUGAUUGAAGAAUGUUGUUAUGUUAAAGUGCUAGAAAAGGUUGAAAAUGGUAGCUAGCAUUUUG